UCCCUGAUAGCUCAGUUGUUAAAGAAUCUGCCUGCAAUUCAGGAGACCUGGGUUCGAUUCCUGGGUUGGGAA
rnacentral:tRNA from 1 species